rnacentral:rRNA from 1 species
UUGGGGUGCUCGAGUGGCGAACGGGUGAGUAACACGUGAGUAACCUGCCCUUGACUUUGGGAUAACUUCAGGAAACUGGGGCUAAUACCGGGUAGGAGCUCCUGCUGCAUGGUGGGGGUUGGAAAGUUUCGGCGGUUGGGGAUGGACUCGCGGCUUAUCAGCUUGUUGGUGGGGUAGUGGCUCACCAAGGCUUUGACGGGUAGCCGGCCUGAGAGGGUGACCGGCCACAUUGGGACUGAGAUACGGCCCAG